UACGAAGGGGGCUAGCGUUGUUCGGAAUUACUGGGCGUAAAGCGCACGUAGGCGGCUAUUCAAGUCGGGGGUGAAAGCCCGGGGCUCAACCCCGGAACUGCCCUCGAAACUAGAUAGCUAGAAUCUUGGAGAGGCGAGUGGAAUUCCGAGUGUAGAGGUGAAAUUCGUAGAUAUUCGGAAGAACACCAGUGGCGAAGGCGACUCGCUGGACAAGUAUUGACGCUGAGGUGCGAAAGCGUGGGGAGCAAACAGG
rnacentral:rRNA from 1 species